AUUGAACGCUGGCGGCAGGCCUAACACAUGCAAGUCGAGCGGCAGCGGAAGGAAGCUUGCUUUCUUGCCGGCGAGCGGCGGACGGGUGAGUAAGGUAUGGGAUCUGGCCGAAGGCGGGGGAUAACCACUGGAAACGGUGGCUAAUACCGCAUAAUCUCUAGGGAGCAAAGUGGGGGACCGUUCAGGCCUCACACCUUCGGAUGAACCCAUAUGAGAUUAGCUAGUAGGUGGGGUAAUGGCUCACCUAGGCGACGAUCUCUAGCUGGUCUGAGAGGAUGAUGAGCCACACUGGGACUGAGACACGGCCCAGACUCCUACGGGAGGCAGCAGUGGGGAAUAUUGCACAAUGGGCGCAAGCCUGAUGCAGCCAUGCCGCGUGUAUGAAGAAGGCCUUCGGGUUGUAAAGUACUUUCAGUCGUGAGGAAGGUGUUAAGGUUAAUAACCUUAGCAAUUGACGUUAGCGACAGAAGAAGCACCGGCUAACUCCGUGCCAGCCGCCGCCGUAA
rnacentral:rRNA from 1 species